rnacentral:rRNA from 1 species
GACGAACGCUGGCGGCGUGCCUAAUACAUGCAAGUAGAACGCACAGUUUAUACCGUAGCUUGCUACACCAUAGACUGUGAGUUGCGAACGGGUGAGUAACGCGUAGGUAACCUGCCUGGUAGCGGGGGAUAACUAUUGGAAACGAUAGCUAAUACCGCAUAAUAUUAAUUAUUGCAUGAUAAUUAAUUGAAAGGUGCAAUUGCACCACUACCAGAUGGACCUGCGUUGUAUUAGCUAGUAGGUGAGGGAACGGCUCACCUAGGCGACGAUACAUAGCCGAACUGAGGGGGGGAUCGGGCACACUGGGACUGAGACACGGCCCAGACUCCUACGGGAGGCAGCAGUAGGGAAUCUUUGGCAAUGGACGAAAGUCUGACCGAGCAACGCCGCGGGAGUGAAGAAGGGUUUCGGAUCGUAAAGCUCUGUUGUAAGAGAAGAACGGGUGUGAGAGUGGAAAGUUCACACUGUGACGGUAUCUUACCAGAAAGGGAAGGCUAAAUACGUG